UAGGGAAUCUUCGGCAAUGGACGAAAGUCUGACCGAGCAACGCCGCGUGAGUGAAGAAGGUUUUCGGAUCGUAAAACUCUGUUGUUAGAGAAGAACAAGGAUGAGAGUAACUGUUCAUCCCUUGACGGUAUCUAACCAGAAAGCCACGGCUAACUACGUGCCAGCAGCCGCGGUAAUACGUAGGUGGCAAGCGUUGUCCGGAUUUAUUGGGCGUAAAGGGUGCGUAGGCGGCACUAUAAGUCAGUGGUGAAAACCGAGGGCUCAACUCUCGAAUUGCCAUUGAAACUGUAGAGCUAGAGUACAGGAGAGGAAAGCGGAAUUACUAGUGUAGCGGUGAAAUGCGUAGAUAUUAGUAAGAACACCAGAGGCGAAGGCGGCUUUCUGGACUGAAACUGACGCUGAGGCACGAAAGCGUGGGGAGCAAACAGGAUUAGAUACCCUGGUA
rnacentral:rRNA from 1 species